GAACAAUUGAACGAAUAGAACGAUUCAUAAAUUUCAGAUGAACUUCCUUCCAGUAAUUCUGGUGGUUAUUGCAGCAGUUAGCGUAGCUUCGGGUAAGUUACAAUGGUUAUAUUUAUUUUGGCGGGAAAAAAAAUAUAUAGUAAAAGAGAUAAUGGCACACCUUUCCCAAAUUAGUAAUAUAAUAUAUACCCACUCCUUCAAAUUCUGCCGAAUUAUAACUCUGCAAAAGCCUCACUAUAGGAUAUUUUGUAUGUUUUAUAUAGUUUUGUAGUUUUGUUGGUAUUGUUUUCUUUUUACUAUUUUUUGUUGGGGCGGGGUGGGUGGUAGCAUAUACAUUGUAUUUACUCUUAUUAUGGGUAUUAGAAAGCAUUUGACAAAUGAGCAUUACCCUGUUUUUUUGUUUUUGUUUCGUCUGUAAAGCCGCCGAAAGCGACAUAUAUAUAGGGAUUGUUUCUCCGGCGACCGCAUUUUCUGAUAAGUUAGUUUGAUAGGAUUAGGGGUAGAACAUUGAUAUUUGAUAAAAAAAAUUGCAUUACUAUCAGUACAUAUAAGACUGAUGACUAUUUCGAUAGGAGCUACUUGUGAUAUAUAUAUGAAGUAGCACGUACUAUCAGUAUAUAUCAUAAUUAAAAUCUUCAAUACAAAAAGCGUAAAAGCUCUGAGAUCAAGGGCAACUACAGUUACGUAGAAGUUAAACAAUAGAAAGAAAUGUUAAAUUUGGCGUGCCACAUUUCUGCAUAUAACCAUCAACACAUAAACCUCUUUUUCAUGUAGAAUUAUUUAGACAUAUUCGAAAAAAAAAUGUAAUUUGGUGGCACAAUUUGCAUAUACACUGAAUAUACAGAACAUAGAACUAAAUAAUAUUUAUUUCGCAAUAAUAUUCAAUGAUAUUCAUUCAUAUGACAGCCUCCUUUUACACUUUAUAGCUUACCGAAGAGGGUGCUACUACACUAACUAGGCACAAUACAGAAACGCUGCAGGAAAGUUUUUUCCUGAGAAUGUAGACCCUAGACUUUGCACAAAUAUCAUCUACUCAUUCGCCAAAAUGGUUGGAAAUAAAUUACACGCUUAUAACUGGAAUGACGAAAGUACUCCUUGGAUGAAGGGGUUGUAAGUUAUUUUAACA
rnacentral:lncRNA from 1 species